rnacentral:lncRNA from 1 species
GCCUGUUGUUUCCUUUUCAUUGGGCGACACUGCAGAAUUCUUGUAUGGCGAUGUCAGAGAUGAUGAUAAGGCUUCAAAGAUUAAACUUGAAUCUGGUGAUGUUCUGAUAUUUGGUGGUCAAUCAAGGCACAUAUUCCAUGGGGUCUCCAGCAUUGCACCGAAAAGUGCACCGCUCUGGGUGACCAACAAGGCAAAUCUUCGACCCGGGCGUCUGAACCUCACAUUCAGGCAAUACAAUUACAAAGGGUCAGUCAACGUCACACCUGCUCCAUUUGAUACAUGCGUAUGUGACAACAAUACUGCUCCAUUGCAACAUCUGAGACCUGGGAUGGUUCUGUUGAAAAAGUUCUUGAAGGCCAAUGAUCAGGCAUGUCUAACAUUUAUACAUUUUGCUCUUUUUUCUUUUUCUCUCGUGUUAAUUUCUUCAGUUGGUAUGAAAAGUUAUUUCUAUUCAUGUUUAUGUUUCUUCAUGUGAAAAUGUGCGUGCUCUUGACUGAAGUUUUAUACCUCUAAUCCCUCUGAUCUGCACACUUGGCUGCAAUUUUCAUAAUUCCUAUAUGCCAUAAAUAUACAUUUCCUUGGCUGAUUGCAUUAUUGUGCUUCUUUUAGUAUGUGUUCGAAUAUGCCGAAUUCAUAUCUGAUGCUUAUUUGUCGCAUGUGUCAGGUUGAAAUUUUCAAACUUUGCCAUAAUCUUGGUGUUAAUGCAAGAGAGUGUUUGUGCUUAGGGAAGAAAUGCGAUCAAUAUUCCAACUCUUAUGGAGAUAUGCGUCCAUUUGAUGGUGCUCAACCUGAUAUCCCUAAAAUAUUCAAGAAGCUCGUGGAAGAUGCCAUUGAAGCCUCCCAUGAAUUCCUGGAGCAAAGAGGGGGUACUUCCAAUCCUUUGGUAGAGCUUCCUCCAAUGUCACCAGAUAUGUGCACUGUUAGGUUCGACACAUUAUCCCGACAAUUGUUCUUCGUCAGGUACAAAAGAACCGCUUUCUCCAGUAGCGUGCUUUUCGUCUUGCCACUAGCCUUUGAUGUCCAUCGACUGUAAUUUAUGGUCUUGUCUUUUGACAGGACACAGAUGUAACAGAAACUAGCCUUGCCAGACAAUUGCCUGUUGUUUCCUUUUGGUUGGGCGACACUGCAGAACUCUUGUACCGUGGCAUAAGAGAUGAUGCGGCUUCGAAGGCUGAUCUUGAAUCUGGGGAUGUUCUAAUUUUUGGUGGCCAAUCAAGGAGAAUAUCCCACGCGGUUUCCAGCAUCAAACCGGGAACUGCACCCGAGUGGCUCGCCGACAAGACGAAUCUUCAAGCUGGGCUUCUGAAUCUCACAUUCAGGCAAUAUGCAUGUUUGGAAAUCGAGAGGCAAUACUGAUUGGUAGCAUAUUCAGUGCCUCCGUUUAGGCUAAAUGCAAGUAGAAGUAGGGCACUCUCUCGUGGUAAUUUUAUGUACCCUGUUAGAAGAAGUCGGCAAGAACAUCCAAUCUAGCUGUUGUAAAACAUAUGUGUAAUACUUUUGCUUCUUUCAUGCGCAAUGUUAAAGCUUCGCAUAUGCAAAUCUCUGGAAGUCGGGAUCAUUUGUAGACAGGGAUUGAUUCGCUUUUCAAAGCUUUUGUGUAACAUCCUGUUACGCCGGGCGGGAUAGACUGGCCCCACAGACCAACACUAAUCUUUUCUGCGCACUUUUGUCCUCACUCGUGCGCACCCGGGAGUUACUUCCGAGUCGGUCACCCAUCCUAGAAUUACUCCAAGUCAAGCACGUUUAACUUUGGAGUUCUUUUCGAAUGGGCUCCUGGAAAAGAAGGAAUUCCUUGUUGAUAUGAUUGGAGGCGCGCGAGAGAAGUAGAGGAGGGGAGAGCGCUUGAGGGAGAGAGAGGGAGAGCCGGACGGCUUUGGGGGGUCGCGUGGCGUCGUGAGGGAGCCCAAGGGGAGGCAGGCAGGCAAGAGGUGGCGGGCGAGUGCGCGCGCGGCGAGCGCGUCCUCCUGGCAGGAGCUUGAAGACGGUGGUGAUGGUGGGCCGGGCCUCUACUACAGUAGCAGGCCGAGGUAAGCCAGGUGGGUUUGUUUCUUUUCCCUUUUCUUUCUGUUUUCUAAUUCUCUGUGCUAUGUUUUGAUUUAGUUUUCAAACCAAAUCAAUUAUACUGCUUCUGUAAAUUAUUGUGUGGACUAGUGGAAUUAUUAAGAAGCUUCACAAUAAAUUCCAGAAUUAUUGGAGCUAUAAAAUUAUUUAUAGAAAUUAAUAACUCCAAUUCAAAUAUAAUAUGGAUUGUUUCAAAGGCCAUAAAUGCCAUGUAAAAAUGUGUAACAUUUAUGGUGGAGCUUUCGUCACUUCCCAUAAAUUAUGAACAAUUUUUUAAGGGCAUUUUGGUUCAUUGAAAAUAUUUGAGUUUGAACUAGUUGAUUUGAUUUGGUGCUAGGGUUUGAUCAAUCCCCAAUUCAAAUCACAAAAAAAAAUUAGAUAUGAUUUUUGUUUUUUGGUGAUAGGUCACUCGUAGCACAUCUCGUUUGCUCUGUUUGGAUAGAAAGAAAGUGUAGGAAUUUCGGAGGGCAUACUUUUUUUAUGCCUGGCUCUCACAAGGACCAACAAGUAUAGGGUCUGUUAGUCUUUAUGCAUAUGGAUCUACAAUUUUAUAGUGUGAUUUUUGCAAACGUGCCAAAAUGUAUCUAAUAAAUGUAAUAUUCCUUUUAAUGCUGAUUUUUUUACUAGUCAUGUAUGCACACACCACUAAUAUAUACUCUCUCUGUAAACUAAUAUAAGACCGUUUAGAUCACUAAAGUACCAUUUAUGGAGGGAGUAGGUUACUAGCGGCGUGUGCCCCUUCUGGCACACAAUUUAUAAGUUAAUAUUACUAUAUUUUUCUAAAUGCAGAAACAUAUUAUUGGUAGCGUUCAGGAAUAGUGACACGCGCCACUAGUAUUAAAGGAACCCGUGGUAUGUUUGCAGAGAGCAUGCCACCGGUAACUAUGAGUGGUGAGGUAGUAGUGGUGUGCGCCGAGCACACCAUCAAUGGACACACCCCGCACGCCACUAAUAAGUACUCCCUCCGUCCCAUAAUAUAAGAGCGUUUUUGACGCUAGAGUGGGACGGAGGGAGUAGAUUUGUGAAGACAUCUCAGCAAUCGCAAGACACAAGAGAUCUCACUACGAAGUGGGCCCGGGAAGCCACAUGAAAUGAUGUUUAGAGAGUUGUUGUGAUGUUUCAAGUUCGUCAAACAAAUCCUGAGAUUCCUCGCAACGCAUCACAUGAUCGAGAGCUGAAAAGCUCAUAACUAACUCCAAGCUGAUCUUGUUGAGCAUCUGUGGGAAAUUCAUAGCUCUUGAUUCUUGUUGAGCAUCUGUGGCCGCAGGUGGAGCCACGGUGCCAAUAUGGGUGGGCCGGUACGAAGAAAAGCCCACUUUUUUUCCCUCAAAUUGGUCCAGCCUAAUAUGAACCCCCUCAUUGUUUUUGCUCUGGGCUGGGCGGGCCAUGGCCCACCCAGCCUUGCUGAAGCUGUCUGUGGCAAUGCGUAGGAGUAGAAAAGCUAGUAGGCCAAAUUCACACCCUUUUUGGUCGGAUAAAAAAUGCACGCCUUCUUUUCAGCUUAAAAUUCACACCUUUCGCUCCUCUCACAUCUUUUUUUUUUCAAUUUUUCUUGAACUGGUGAAGACUCCAAGGUCUCUUUUUUUUUGAGAAUCUGGUGAAGACUCCAAGGUCAGUGGAAUCCUACCCUAAAAAAAAAAAGGUGAGUGGAAUCCGGGUGGUCGAGUCGGUUCCGCUCCGCCCACGAACCCGCCCGCCCGCCCGCGCCUGUUGGUUGGUGUUGGUGGGUCAUAAAUAACGGCGACCGCCCCCCGUUCGCCUCCUCCCGAGAGGCCGAGACCCAACCAAUCACUCUGUUGCCAACGGGCAAGUCGACAACCAGCCACACCAAAGGCGAAACGGCAGCGCAGAGCAGAGCCCCCUGCUUUUCCGCCUCCGCCACCGCGCCCAUGGCAGGCGGCCGCGGCGGCCGUGGCCGCGGCGGCGGAAGGAACCCGGCGACGACCUCCUCCUCCUCCUCAUCGGGGCGGCACAAGUACCGGGUCUCGCGCGAGUUCGUACGUGCCUCCUUUGCCCUAGCCCUUCUUUCGCCUCUUCUCUUCUGGUACGAACGCCAACCUACGGGCGGGGGUUUCUUUUCUUUCUGUUCGUCUUUCCGGCCCGCCGCUCCGCCGGGGUUAGGGUUUGGGGGUUUCGCCGCCGGCCGUGGAUUGACGCGGCGACAUGGCGCGGGGAUUAUGGGAUGCGCCACGCCGCGGCAUUUGUGCGGAGUGGCGGUUACGGGUCAGAGCAGUGUCCGUUGCGGUUUUGGUUUGCUACGAAAUUAGGAAUCUUCUCGUCUGCAUCCGCGGAAGCGGAAGUUGUAGCAUCGAAUUGCGGCGUUUCAGCAUUGCUGCCCCUGACGAGGCCCGGAAAUAGGGUCUGAAUUGCUGGCUCACCAACUGUACCAGUACCACACCAUGUUCUAGCAGAACAUCAGAGUUGUAGUCUUGUCUUGUGGAUGGACCGAGCGUGUUAUUUCUCGGGCUCUCUCUGUUUCUGCGCUGUUUUUUGUUCUGUCUGUCAGUUGAAGUAUCAGAAACUUUCUGCUUUUGAACAAAUUACAUGAAUACAUUCACUUGUUAUCCCAAAAACAUGAAUACAGUCACCCAUGUGCAGCAUGGGGUGGCCAUUUGCUGGACCUGAAUGAAAGAAUGCGGGAUCCUAUUCCAUUGCUUCAACUUCCAUUUUAAAUCGCUUUUUUCUAUAAUCACUGUAGGAUCGUGUGUUUGCUCGCUCAGUAAAAUUGGUAGUUGUAGACUUCUGUUUAGUCAUGUAUAUGCCCAUUAAAUGGUUGUGAGCAUUAACAUGGUGAAAUUCAAUUUGGUAGUCAUGUCAUGCCUGAUUAUUUCUCAAGUUAAGUACAUUAUGUGUCUCAUAUUAUUACACAUUCUUGCUGGUCUUUCAGAUAUAUCGAUGUUCUCUUGUUUCAUGAUGACAGUUGUAAUUUAUUCUGCAGGGCCAUGAAAGUCCCUUACAAUCUCAAAAGGAGGGGUCGAGUUCAUCUUCUCCAUCAGUCAGCAGUAAAAAAUCACCGCAGCAGAUGGUUACACCAGUUCUGCCAAAGUCUCUUGAUUCACCAGUUGAACCACCGAAGUCUCUCGAUUCUCAGAAGGAAGGGCCAUGUUCAUCUUCUCCCUCAGUUAGCAGUAAAAGAUCGCAGAUGGGUACACCAGUUCUACCAAAGUCUCUAGAUUCACCAGUUCAACCACCAAAGUCUCUCUAUUCACCGCUGAUGAUGGCUAAACAAGUUCAUCCACCGAAAUCUCAAGAUCCACUGGUUCAAACGGUUGCAUCGAUUCAAAUAUCAAGACCUCCAGAAUACAGUAGCGCUUCAUGUGGCUCUGGAGCUGUGGGGUCUCUCGAUUCACCAGUUCAACCAUGGAAGUCUCUCGAUUCAUCACUGAUGAUGUCCGAACAAGUUCAACAACCGAAAUCUCAAGAUUCGCUGGUCCAAAUGGUUGCGUCGAUUCAACUAUCAAACCCUCUAGACUCCAGUAGUGCUUCAACUGGCUCUGGAGCUGUGGGGUCUGAUUUAGGAGCUGCUCCAUUUGAUAUAUGCAUGGGUAACAGCAAAGGCAUUUUCAAGCUAAAUCGCCCUUUACAUGAGAUCAAGAGAGAAGAAAAACGCCUCCGUGCAAGGGAGCUUUCAAACAGUGCAGCUCAGUUGCAACAUCUGAGACCUGGGAUGGUUUUAUUGAAAAGCUUCUUAAAGCCGGAUGAUCAGGUACGUCUAUAUUUACGCAGUUUUGCUCUGUUUGUUAUCUCAUCUUAGUUUCUUUGUUUUAUCCUAUCUCCAUUGAUUAUUUUGUACCGCUCAGACGAAAACUGUUGUUUGACAUUAGUAUUCAAAUUUGUUUUUGUGUGCCUUUGGACUUUUGGUUGCUCAUUACUGAAGUGUUAUGUUUCCAUUCUUUUGUCAGCACGCAUUGCUGCAACCUUCAUAACACUUUAACAGAACUCUGAUAAGCCAGAAACAUAUAUUUCCUUUACUGAUUUUAUUAUUGUACCUCUCUUAUUAUGCGUUCAAGUACGCUUGCAGAAAGCUUACCUCUAAGCAUUUUUUGUUGUUGUGCAUCUCAGGUUGAAAUUAUCAAGCUUUGUCGGGAACUUGGUGUUGGCACAGGAGGAUUUUAUCAACCUGCCUACAGAGAUGGUGGUAAGCUAAGUCUGCGGAUGAUGUGCUUAGGGAAGAACUGGGAUCCAGAUUCAAGAUCAUAUGGAGAUAUACGACCCUAUGAUGGGGCUCAACCACCACAGAUGCCACAAGAAUUGACUAAGUUUGUUGAAGAAGCCAUUAAAGCUUCCCAUGAUUUCUUGAAACAAAGAGGCAAGGGAGCUACCGAUCCCGCUGUAGAACUUCCUCUGAUGUCACCUGACAUCUGCAUUGUGAACUUCUACACCACUGGCGGGAAGUUAGGUCUUCAUCAGGUACAAAAGAAAAGCUUUCUCUAACCAUAUGUUUUCAUACAUUAGCAUCAUUACGUUUCCUAUUUCUGCUACCAAUCUAUGGGAUGAGCUGAGCGCUGACGGAUUAAUUCAGUAAACAUGCAUUUGCAGUAUAAUGUCUUGUACUCCCAUUUCUUUACAGUUGGAAUGCUAAUCCAGCUGAACUCCUUUUUCACGAGUACUAUAGCUGGGCCCCAACUGAUUUUUGUCACUUGACAGGACAAAGAUGAAGAUAAAUCUAGCCUUGACAAGGGACUGCCUGUUGUUUCCUUUUCAUUGGGUGACACUGCAGAAUUCUUGUAUGGCGAUGACAGAGAUGUUGAUAAGGCUUCAAAGAUUAAACUUGAAUCUGGUGAUGUUCUGAUAUUUGGUGGUCAAUCAAGGCGCAUAUUCCAUGGGGUCUCCAGCAUUGCGCCGAAAAGUGCACCACUCUGGGUGACCGACAAGGCAAAUCUUCGACCCGGGCGUCUGAACCUCACAUUCAGGCAGCAU